rnacentral:rRNA from 1 species
UACGUAGGGGGCAAGCGUUGUCCGGAAUCAUUGGGCGUAAAGCGCGUGUAGGCGGUUCGGUAAGUCGGCUGUGAAAGUCCAGGGCUCAACCCUGGGAUGCCGGUCGAUACUGCCGGACUAGAGUUCGGAAGAGGCGAGUGGAAUUCCCGGUGUAGCGGUGAAAUGCGCAGAUAUCGGGAGGAACACCAGCGGCGAAGGCGGGUAGCUGGGCCAACACUGACGCUGAUGCGCGAAAGCCAGGGGAGCAAACGGG